UACGGAGGAGGCAAGCGUUAUCCGGAAUUAUUGGGCGUAAAGCGUCCGCAGGUGGCACUUCAAGUCUGUCGUCAAAGACUGGGGCUUAACCCUGGAAAGGCGGUGGAAACUGUAGGUCUUGAGUAUGGUAGGGGUAGAGGGAAUUCCCGGUGUAGCGGUGAAAUGCGUAGAUAUCGGGAAGAACACCAGUGGCGAAAGCGCUCUACUGGGCCAUAACUGACACUGAGGGACGAAAGCUAGGGGAGCGAAAGGG
rnacentral:rRNA from 1 species